rnacentral:rRNA from 1 species
GACGAACGCUGGCGGCGUGCUUAACACAUGCAAGUCGAACGGAAAGGCCCUGCUUUUGUGGGGUGCUCGAGUGGCGAACGGGUGAGUAACACGUGAGUAACCUGCCCUUGACUUUGGGAGAACUUCAGGAAACUGGGGCUAAUACCGGAUAGGAGCUCCUGCUGCAUGGGGGGGGUUGGAAAGUGUCGGCGGUGGGGGAUGGACUCGCGGCUUAUCAGCUUGUUGGUGGGGUAGGGGCUUACCAAGGAUUUGACGGGUAGGCGGCCGGAGAGGGUGACCGGCCACAAUGGUACUGAGAUACGGCCCAGACGCCUACGGGAGGCAGCAGUGGGGAAUAUUGCACAAUGGGCGGAAGCCUGAUGCAGGAACGCCGCGUGCGGGAUGACGGCCUUCGGGGUGUAAACCGCUUUCGCCUGUGACGAAGCGUGAGUGACGGUAAUGGGUAAAGAAGCACCGGCUAACUACGUG